rnacentral:rRNA from 1 species
UGCGAACGGGUGAGUAACACGUGGGCAACCUGCCCAAAAGAGGGGGAUAACACUUGGAAACAGGUGCUAAUACCGCAUAACCAUAGUUACCGCAUGGUAACUAUGUAAAAGGUGGCUAUGCUACCGCUUUUGGAUGGGCCCGCGGCGCAUUAGCUAGUUGGUGGGGUAAAGGCUUACCAAGGCAAUGAUGCGUAGCCGAACUGAGAGGUUGAUCGGCCACAUUGGGACUGAGACACGGCCCAAACUCCUACGGAAGGCAGCAG